CACACCGCCCGUCACAUCACGAAAGUGGGUUGUACUAGAAGCCGGUAAGCCAACUCGCAAGAGGGGCAGCCGUCCAAGGUAUAACUCAUGAUUGGGGUG
rnacentral:rRNA from 1 species